rnacentral:rRNA from 1 species
AACGAACGCUGGCGGCAUGCCUAACACAUGCAAGUCGAACGAGACCUUCGGGUCUAGUGGCGCACGGGUGCGUAACGCGUGGGAACCUGCCCUUAGGUUCGGAAUAACUCCCCGAAAGGGGUGCUAAUACCGGAUAAUGUCUUCGGACCAAAGAUUUAUCGCCUUUGGAUGGGCCCGCGUUGGAUUAGCUAGUUGGUAGGGUAAAAGCCUACCAAGGCGACGAUCCAUAGCUGGUCUGAGAGGAUGAUCAGCCACACUGGGACUGAGACACGGCCCAGACUCCUACGGGAGGCAGCAGUGGUGAAUAUGGGACAAUGGGCGAAAGCCUGAUCCAGCAAUGCCGCGUGAGUGAUGAAGGCCUUAGGGUUGUAAAGCUCUUUUACCCGGGAUGAUAAUGACAGUACCGGAAGAAUAAGCUCCGGCUAACUCCGU